UACGUAGGUGGCAAGCGUUGUCCGGAGUUAUUGGGCGUAGAGCGCGCGCAGGCGGUGCGGUAAGUCUCUGGUGAAAGCGCUCGGCUUAACUGGGCGAGGGCCGGGGAGACUGCCACGCUGGAGGGGAGCAGAGGCGAGUGGAAUUCCGGGUGUAGUGGUGAAAUGCGUAGAGAUCCGGAGGAACACCAGUGGCGAAGGCGGCUCGCUGGGCUCUACCUGACGCUGAGGCGCGAAAGCGUGGGGAGCGAACCGG
rnacentral:rRNA from 1 species